AUGGCGCGGCGCGGGCGUGUGGAGCUGCGGCGGAUCAAGGACCGGACGAGCCGGCAGGUGCGCUUCUCCAAGCGCCGCUCGGGGCUCUUCAAGAAGGCCUUCGAGCUCGCGCUCCUCUGCGAUACCGAGGUCUCGCUGCUCGUCUUCUCCCCCGCCGGCAGGUUCUACGAGUACGCCUCCUCCAGUCUAUGUGCAGUGCGUGUAUUUGGUUCAAGCAAAGCUCUGUUGCUGAGGCCACACUCUUCCCCGGUUAUUGGGUAUGAAAGAGUUGUGAAGGCUGCUGCUUGUAAAAUGCAGCGAAGGCAGUAG
rnacentral:rRNA from 1 species